AUUGAACGCUGGCGGAAUGCUUUACACAUGCAAGUCGAACGGCAGCACGGGUGCUUGCACCUGGUGGCGAGUGGCGAACGGGUGAGUAAUGCACCGGAACGUAUCCAAUAAUGGGGGAUAACGCACCGAAAGGUGUGCUAAUACCGCAUACGCCCUGAGGGGGAAAGCGGGGGAUCGUAAGACCUCGCGUUAAUGGAGCGGCCGAUGCCGGAUUAGCUAGUUGGUGAGGUAAAGGCUCACCAAGGCGACGAUCCGUAGCUGGUCUGAGAGGACGACCAGCCACACUGGAACUGAGACACGGUCCAGACUCCUACGGGAGGCAGCAGUGGGGAAUUUUGGACAAUGGGCGCAAGCCUGAUCCAGCCAUGCCGCGUGAGUGAAGAAGGCCUCGGUGUAAGCUCUUUCGGCCGGGAAGAAAUACGCAUGGGUUAAUACCCUGUGUGGAUGACGGUACCGGAAUAAGAAGCACCGGCUAACUACGUGCCAGCAGCCGCGGUAAU
rnacentral:rRNA from 1 species